rnacentral:rRNA from 1 species
ACUAGGGAUCGGGCAGAUUGUUAUNUUAUGACUCGCUCGGCACCUUACGAGAAAUCAAAGUCUGGGGUUCUGGGGGGAGUAUGGUCGCAAGGCUGAAACUUAAAGGAAUUGACGGAAGGGCACCACCAGGAGUGGAGCCUGCGGGUUAAUUUGACUCAACACGGGGAAACUCACCAGGUCCAGACAUAAUAAGGAUUGACAGAUUGAGAGCUCUUUCUUGAUUAGAUGG